rnacentral:rRNA from 1 species
AUACGUAGGGGGCGAGCGUUGUCCGGAAUGAUUGGGCGUAAAGGGCGCGUAGGCGGCCUGUUAAGUCUGGAGUGAAAGUCCUGUUUUUAAGAUGGGAAUUGCUUUGGAUACUGUCGGGCUUGAGUGCAGGAGAGGUAAGUGGAAUUCCCAGUGUAGCGGUGAAAUGCGUAGAGAUUGGGAGGAACACCAGUGGCGAAGGCGACUUACUGGACUGUAACUGACGCUGAGGCGCGAAAGUGUGGGGAGCAAACAGGAUUAGAUACCCUGGUAGUCCACACUGUAAACGAUGAAUGCUAGGUGUAGGGGGUAUCGACCCCUUCUGUGCCGCAGUCAACACAAUAAGCAUUCCGCCUGGGGAGUACGGCCGCAAGGUUGAAACUCAAAGGAAUUGACGGGG